rnacentral:rRNA from 1 species
AUUGAACGCUGGCGGCGUGCCUAACACAUGCAAGUCGAGCGGUAACAGGUGUAGCAAUACAUGCUGACGAGCGGCGGACGGGUGAGUAACGCUUGGGAAUCUGCCUGUUAGUGGGGGACAACCCGGGGAAACUCGGGCUAAUACCGCAUACGCACUACGGUGGAAAGCCGGGGACCGCAAGGCCUGGCGCUAACAGAUGAGCCCAAGUCGGAUUAGCUAGUUGGUAGGUAACGGCCACCAAGGCGACGAUCCGUAACUGGUCUGAGAGGACGACCAGUCACACCGGAACUGAGACACGGUCCGGACUCCUACGGGAGGCAGCAGUGGGGAAUAUUGGACAAUGGGCGAAAGCCUGAUCCAGCGAUGCCGCGUGUGUGAAGAAGGCCUGCGGGUUGUAAAGCAC